CCUACGGUGGGCAGCAGUGGGGAAUAUUGGGCAAUGGGCGCAAGCCUGACCCAGCAACGCCGCGUGAAGGAAGAAGGCUUUCGGGUUGUAAACUUCUUUUCUCAGGGACGAAGCAAGUGACGGUACCUGAGGAAUAAGCCACGGCUAACUACGUGCCAGCAGCCGCGGUAAUACGUAGGUGGCAAGCGUUAUCCGGAUUUACUGGGUGUAAAGGGCGUGUAGGCGGGAAAGCAAGUCAGAUGUGAAAACCAUGGGCUCAACCUGUGGCCUGCAUUUGAAACUGUUUUUCUUGAGUACUGGGGAGGCAGACGGAAUUCCUAGUGUAGCGGUGAAAUGCGUAGAUAUUAGGAGGAACACCAGUGGCGAAGGCGGUCUGCUGGACAGCAACUGACGCUGAGGCGCGAAAGCGUGGGGAGCAAACAGGAUUAGAUACCCUGGUAGUU
rnacentral:rRNA from 1 species